rnacentral:rRNA from 1 species
GACGAACGCUGGCGGCGUGCUUAACACAUGCAAGUCGAACGAAGUGGCGAACGGGUGAGUAACGCGUAAUCAACCUGCCCUUCAGAGGGGGACAACAGUUGGAAACGACUGCUAAUACCCCAUACUGAAGGAGGGGAUUGCGUCUGAUUAGCUCGUUGGAGGGGUAACGGCCCACCAAGGCGAUGAUCAGUCGCCGGGCUGGGAGGAAGGACGGCCAAAUUGGGACUGAGACACGGGCCAGACUCCUACGGGAGGCAGCAGUGGGGAAUCUUCCGCAAUGGAGGAAAGUCUGACGGAGCAAAGCCGCGUGAGUGAUGAAGGCCUUCGGGUUGUAAAGCUCUGUUAAUCGGGACGCGGUACCGGAAUAGAAAGCCACGGCUAACUACGUGCCAGCAGCCGCGGUAAUUC